CCUCACCAGAGUAACAAUUGGAGGGCAAGUCUGGUGCCAGCAGCCGCGGUAAUUCCAGCUCCAAUAGCGUAUAUUAAACUUGUUGCAGUUAAAAAGCUCGUAGUUGAAUUUCUGCGUUAUCGAGUUAUUGACUCUUGUCUUUAAUCGAUUUCGCUUUUGGGAUUUAUCCCUUUUUACUUUGAGAAAAUUAGAGUGUUUCAAGCAGACUUUUGUCUUGAAUACUUCAGCAUGGAAUAAUAGAGUAGGACUUUGGUUCUAUUUUGUUGGUUUUUGAACCUUAGUAAUGGUUAAUAGGAACGGUUGGGGGCAUUCGUAUUUAACUGUCAGAGGUGAAAUUCUUAGAUUUGUUAAAGACGAACUACUGCGAAAGCAUUUGCCAAGGACGUUUCCAUUAAUCAAGAACGAAAGUUAGGGGAUCGAAGACGAUCAGAU
rnacentral:rRNA from 1 species